UCAGGGGGGAGUACGUUCGCAAGAGUGAAACUUAAAGAAAUCGACGGAAGGGCACCACAAGACGAGGAGCGUGCGGUUUAAUUUGACUCACCACGGGGAACUUUUACCAGAUCCGGACAGGGUGAGGAUUGACACAUUGAGUGUUCUUCCUCGAUCCCCUGAAUGGUGGUCCAUGGCCGCUUUUGGGCGGAGGAGUGAUUUGCUUGGUUGAUUCCGUCAACGGACGAGAUCCCAAUCUGCCCAGUAGGAUACAGGAUAGUCCAUAGGAUAGCAAUCCCUUCCGCGGGUUCUACCCAAGCCGGCGCGGUAUCCGAUUGUAUCUUUCUCUGCGGGAUUCCCCGUUUUGCACAAGGCCUCAAAUCGUCAGCAGCAGAAGUCAAUGCUCCUCAAUGUUAUGGGCGCCACGCGCACCCAAGCGCAGUG
rnacentral:rRNA from 1 species